rnacentral:misc_RNA from 1 species
GAUUAAGCCAAUAGCAAAACAAGGUGCAAUGGAUCUGGAGUCUGGUGAUGGUAGUGGUUAUUACCCUAUGGUACUAGUUCAGAUCCCUAUGUGUAAUGAAAAAGAGGUUUAUCAGCAAUCCAUUGGUGCUGUGUGUUGUUUGGAGUGGCCUAAAUCAAGAUUGUUGAUUCAAGUUCUUGAUGAUUCAGAUGAUCCAGUUACUCAGACAUUGAUCAAUGAAGAGGUUCGUAAGUGGCAGAAGGAAGGUGCCAAUAUCAUAUACAGGCAUAGAGUGAUCAGAGAGGGUUAUAAAGCUGGUAAUCUUAAGUCAGCUAUGAAUUGCAGCUAUGUCAAAGAC